CAACCCUCAAGCCCCCGGGCUUGGUGUUGGGGAUCGGCGUGCCCUCGCGGCGCGCCGCCCCCUAAAUCUAGUGGCGGUCUCGCUGCAGCUUCCCCUGCGUAGUAGCACACCUCGCACCGGAGAGCAGCGCGGCCACGCCGUGAAACCCCCCACUUCUGAAA
rnacentral:misc_RNA from 1 species